rnacentral:sRNA from 2 species
AUUAUAAAAUAAAACUCGCUGUUCCUGCGGGAACAGAUAAAUGUCCGUUUUCGACAUGGUUGGCCACCUUUACGGUGGCCUUUU